UCAUUUCAGCUGAAGCAACGCUGAAAGCUUCCAUGGAAGAAAAGAACCCCGAAACCCUUACGGCAAAUUCAACUCGCCGUAACUUCUCCGUCCGAGUUUCGAUUGCUGCACCGUUUGCGGCCACACGACCACCGCAUCGAGUUCUACGUUUCUAUUGGAACAAUUUCAUUGGAUCCAAUUAGCUUGAGAAAAUCGUUCACUCUUGUUUAUGUGAAGCUUGGGUAAGAUGAGGAUAUCAUAAAUCCUAUUUAAUUUGCUGAAUUUAUGUUUCGGGUAUUCGGAUAUUAAAUUGGGUAUAUAUGUGUUAUGAAUGUAUAUUAGGUUGAGAAUAAAUAAUUGGAGUUUGAAAUUGUGGACGUUGGAAUUUUGGUGGAGGCUGGGCAUUGGUAUUUUGUUGAGCUUUUAGGGCUGUGUUUAUUUUGGGUGAAUUGUUUAUCGCUACGUGGGAAUCGGCUAAGAUGCAGGUCGAGAGGCACCUCGUUAGGCGUCUGGACUUUUGAAGCGAAGUGGCUGUCGGGUUACUUUUGUUAUAUAGUUAUGUAUAUAUAUGUACUUAGUUUUCCUCUCCGCAUAACUUGUUUCUUUUGAUCCUCUUAGAGGUUUAUGGAGAGACAUGAUUUUGUUUAUGUAAAUUUGGGUUUUAGAUAUGUAUAUGUAUGUGUAUAUAUAUUUUCCGGCCAGUCUUGACUUCGCGGGCUGAGUGAGGAGCUUGUUAUUUUGU